GCUGAGAUGGCUCUGUUGGUAGAGAAUGAGACUCUUAAUCUCAGGGUCGUGGGUUGAAGUCCCACAUUGGGCA